AACGAACGCUGGCGGCAGGCUUGACACAUGCAAGUCGAACGGUUGUAGCAAUACAUCAGUGGCAGACGGGUGAGUAACACGUGGGAACCUUCCUAGGGGUACGGAACAACUCAGGGAAACUUGAGCUAAUACCGUAUACGUCCGUGAGGAGAAAGAUUUAUCGCCCUUAGACGGGCCCGCGUCGGAUUAGCUAGUUGGUGGGGUAACGGCCUACCAAGGCGACGAUCCGUAGCUGAUCUUAGAGGAUGAUCAGCCACACUGGGACUGAGACACGGCCCAGACUCCUACGGGAGGCAGCAGUGGGGAAUCUUGGACAAUGGGCGCAAGCCUGAUCCAGCCAUGCCGCGUGAGUGAAGAAGGUCUUCGGAUUGUAAAGCUCAUUUGCCAGGGACGAUAAUGACGGUACCUGGAGAAUAAGCCCCGGCAAACUUCGUGCCAGCCGCCGCGGUAA
rnacentral:rRNA from 1 species